UACGAAGGGGGCUAGCGUUGCUCGGAAUCACUGGGCGUAAAGGGUGCGUAGGCGGGUCUUUAAGUCAGGGGUGAAAUCCUGGAGCUCAACUCCAGAACUGCCUUUGAUACUGAAGAUCUUGAGUUCGGGAGAGGUGAGUGGAACUGCGAGUGUAGAGGUGAAAUUUGUAGAUAUUCGCAAGAACACCAGUGGCGAAGGCGGCUCACUGGCCCGAUACUGACGCUGAGGCACGAAAGCGUGGGGAGCAAACAGGG
rnacentral:rRNA from 1 species